UAAGCGGAGGAAAAGAAACUAACAAGGAUUCCCCUAGUAACGGCGAGUGAAGUGGGAAAAGCUCAACUUUGAAAUCUGGCUGCUUUGCAGUCCGAGUUGUAGUCUCGAGAAGUGUUUUCCGCGUUAAACCGUGUAUGAGUCUGUUGGAAUACAGCGUCAUAGAGGGUGAGAACCCCGUUCAUGACACGGCUUUUAAUGCUUUGUGAUACAUUUUCGAUGAGUCGAGUUGUUUGGGAAUGCAGCUCAAAUUGGGUGGUAAAUUCCAUCUAAAGCUAAAUAUUGGCGGGAGACCGAUAGCAAACAAGUACCGUGAGGGAAAGAUGAAAAGCACUUUGGAAAGAGAGUUAAAAGUACGUGAAAUUGUCGAAAGGGAAACGCUUGAAGUCAGACGUGCACGGGAUUCAUUCCCAUUGCAGGCCAACAUCGGUUUUGCGAGCCGGAUAAAGGUAGAAGGAAGGUGGCAGUCUCGGCUGUGUUAUAGCCUUCUACUGAAUACGGAUUGCGAGACCGAGGGACGCAGCGCGCCGCAAGGCAGAGGGUUCGCCCUUUUCGCGCUUAGGAUGUUGGUGAAAUGGCUUUAAACGACCCGUC
rnacentral:rRNA from 1 species